rnacentral:rRNA from 1 species
CCCUUAGACGUUCUGGGCCGCACGCGCGCUACACUGACCAGUGCAACAAGCAUCCGUCCUUGGCCGACAGGCCCGGGCAAUCUUUGAACGCUGGUCGUGAUGGGGAUAGACUUUUGCAAUUUUUGGUCUUCAACGAGGAAUUCCUAGUAAACGCAAGUCAUCAACUUGCAUUGAUUACGUCCCUGCCCUUUGUACACACCGCCCGUCGCACCUACCGAUUGAAUGGUCCGGUGAAUCCUCCGGAUUGGCGCGCACCUCGGUGCCGCCGAGAAGUUGGCUAAACCUUACCAUUUAGAGGAAGGUGAAGUCGUAACA